UGUUUCCGGUGGCCUAAUGGUUAGAGCAUCUGCCUCAGAUGUGGAAGGUUGUGGGUUCAAUUCCCAGCAGAGUCAA